CAGUAGCCGCGGUAAUACAGAGGGUGCGAGCGUUAAUCGGAAUUACUGGGCGUAAAGCGUGCGCAGGCGGUUCGUUAAGACAGAUGUGAAAUCCCCGGGCUCAACCUGGGAACUGCAUUUGUGACUGCAUGACUAGAGUACGGCAGAGGGGGAUGGAAUUCCGCGUGUAGCAGUGAAAUGCGUAGAUAUGCGGAGGAACACCGAUGGCGAAGGCAAUCCCCUGGGCCUGUACUGACGCUCAUGCACGAAAGCGUGGGGAGCAAACAGGAUUAGAUACCCGGGUAGUCCCUGUCUCUUAUAC
rnacentral:rRNA from 1 species